rnacentral:rRNA from 1 species
UACGUAGGGGGCAAGCGUUGUCCGGAGUUACUGGGCGUAAAGCGCUUGUAGGCGGUCCACCAAGUUUGGGGUGACAGUUGCCGACUUAAUCGGCAAAGUGCCUCAAAGACUGGCGGACUUGAGGGCCACAGAGGGACAUGGAACUCCAGGUGUAGUGGUGAAAUGCGUAGAUAUCUGGAAGAACACCAAAGGCGAAGGCAGUGUCCUGGGUGGUCGCUGACGCUGAGAGGCGAAAGCCAGGGGAGCGGACGGG